rnacentral:rRNA from 1 species
AUUGAACGCUGGCGGCAGGCCUAACACAUACAAGUCGAGCGGAUGAAGGGAGCUUGCUCCUGGAUUCAGCGGCGGACGGGUGAGUAAUGCCUAGGUAUCUGCCUGGUAGUGGGGGAUAACGUCCGGAAACGGGCGCUAAUACCGCAUACGUCCUGAGGGAGAAAGUGGGGGAUCUUCGGACCUCACGCUAUCAGAUGAGCCUAGGUCGGAUUAGCUAGUUGGUGGGGUAAAGGCCUACCAAGGCGACGAUCCGUAACUGGUCUGAGAGGAUGAUCAGUCACACUGGAACUGAGACACGGUCCAGACUCCUACGGGAGGCAGCAGUGGGGAAUAUUGGACAAUGGGCGAAAGCCUGAUCCAGCCAUGCCGCGUGUGUGAAGAAGGUCUUCGGAUUGUAAAGCACUUUAAGUUGGGAGGAAGGGCAGUAAGUUAAUACCUUGCUGUUUUGACGUUACCAACAGAAUAAGCACCGGCUAACUUCGUG